rfam:Sus scrofa isolate TJ Tabasco breed Duroc chromosome 16, whole genome shotgun sequence.
CAAAAGGUUUUCCUAAAAACCACCGAAUCUUUCCAUUCCCUAUGGA